GCUUCUGGCCCCUUUCUCUGGAGGAGCUCCGCGCGUGGCGAGUCUGUGUCCUCCCUGUCCCCCAGAGCAGAGAACCCUCUCUGUGUCUGGACGGGGGAGGAGCAGACGCUGGACAGGUUUUUGGCAAAAUGCUGGCAAUUCCCAGGAAGAUAUGUGGAGAACGGAAAGGUUGCUACACCCAAAUAGUGGCGCAAAGGCUAUGAUUAUGGAGGAUUGGACCUGCAAACUCCAGAACAGAGCAACCUUGUAAAAUGUGUGUGGGCAGCACAGAGACCUUGGGCAAGUUAACAGUUUCCUCAUCUGUAAAUACUGAUUUAUGGAAAGCACCUGGUGUAUGUUCUGCCCUCUGAGGACCCUGCCCUUUCCCAAAAGGGGUAUCUUAAGAAGGAAAAUAUGGCUGCUCUUUGCCGGACAGCAGAGUCCCAGAACCCCAUGCAGGUGUUUCAGGGCUUUACGUCAUUCAAGGAUGUGGCUGUGAACUUCACUAGGAAGAAUGGAGAGUACUGGACCUUGCUCAGAGAGUCUUGUACAGGGAUGUAAUGCUGGAGAACUAUAGGAACCUGGUCUCCUUGGGAUUUCCAUUUUCCAAACCUGGUAUCAUCUCCUAGUUGGAAGAAGUGGUAGGCCCACGAACGCAAAUGCAGGAGGGAGAGGUGCCAAGAAGCAGCUGUACACGCUGAACUCCAGUGCACCCAGUUAGACUUGGAGCGGAAACUCAAGUUGAAUGAAAAUGCCAUCUCCAGGCUCCAGGCUAACCAAAAGUCUGUUCUGGUGUCGGUGUCAGAGGUCAAAGCAGUGGCUGAAAUGCAGUUUGGGGAACUCCUUGCUGCUGUGAGGAAGGCCCAGGCCAAUGUGAUGCUCUUCUUAGAGGAGAAGGAGCAAGCUGCGCUGAGCCAGGCCAACGGUAUCAAGGCCCACCUGGAGUACAGGAGUGCCGAGAUGGAGAAGAGUAAGCAGGAGCUGGAGACGAUGGCGGCCAUCAGCAACACUGUCCAGUUCUUGGAGGAGUACUGCAAGUUUAAGAACACUGAAGACAUCACCUUCCCUAGUGUUUACAUAGGGCUGAAGGAUAAACUCUCGGGCAUCCGCAAAGUUAUCACGGAAUCCACUGUACACUUAAUCCAGUUGCUGGAGAACUAUAAGAAAAAGCUCCAGGAGUUUUCCAAGGAAGAGGAGUAUGACAUCAGAACUCAAGUGUCUGCCAUUGUUCAGCGCAAAUAUUGGACUUCCAAACCUGAGCCCAGCACCAGGGAACAGUUCCUCCAAUAUGUGCAUGACAUCACGUUCGACCCGGACACAGCACACAAGUAUCUCCGGCUGCAGGAGGAGAACCGCAAGGUCACCAACACCACGCCCUGGGAGCAUCCCUACCCGGACCUCCCCAGCAGGUUCCUGCACUGGCGGCAGGUGCUGUCCCAGCAGAGUCUGUACCUGCACAGGUACUAUUUUGAGGUGGAGAUCUUCGGGGCAGGCACCUAUGUUGGCCUGACCUGCAAAGGCAUCGACCAGAAAGGGGAGGAGCGCAGCAGUUGCAUUUCCGGAAACAACUUCUCCUGGAGCCUCCAAUGGAACGGGAAGGAGUUCACGGCCUGGUACAGUGACAUGGAGACCCCACUCAAAGCUGGCCCUUUCUGGAGGCUCGGGGUCUAUAUUGACUUCCCAGGAGGGAUCCUUUCCUUCUAUGGCGUAGAGUAUGAUUCCAUGACUCUGGUUCACAAGUUUGCCUGCAAGUUUUCAGAACCAGUCUAUGCUGCCUUCUGGCUUUCCAAGAAGGAAAACGCCAUCCGGAUUGUAGAUCUGGGAGAGGAACCCGAGAAGCCAGCACCGUCCUUGGUGGGGACUGCUCCCUAGACUCCAGGAGCCAUAUCCCAGACCUUUGCCAGCUACAGUGAUGGGAUUUGCAUUUUAGGGUGAUUUGGGGGCAAAAAUAACUGCUGAUGGUAGCUGGCUUUUGAAAUCCUAUGGGGUCUCUGAAUGAAAACAUUCUCCAGCUGCUCUCUUUUGCUCCAUAUGGUGCUGUUCUCUAUGUGUUUGCAGUAAUUCUUUUUUUUUUUUUUUUUGAGACGGAGUCUCGCACUGUUGCCCAGGCUGGAGUGCAGUGGCGUGAUCUUGGCUCACUGCAAGCUCCGCCUCCCGAGUUCAAGCAAUUCUCCUGCCUCAGCCUCCCGAGUAGCUGGGAUUACAGGUGCCUGCCACCACACCCAGCUAACGUUUUGUAUUUUUAGUAGAGAUGGGGUUUCACCAUGUUGGCCAGGCAGAUCUCAAACUUCUGACCUCGUGAUGCACUCACCUCGGCCUCCCAAAGUGCUGGGAUUACAGGCGUGAGCCACUGCGCCCUGCCUGUUUGUAGUAAUUUUUAGGCACCAAAUCUCCCUCAUCUUCUAGUGCCAUUCUCCUCUCUGUUCAGGUAAAUGUCACACUGUGCCCAGAAUGGAUGACCAGGAACCUUCAAGAGUGGCUGAAAAGAUUGCAGAGUUAUCAUAAUAAAUUGCUAACUUGCGUA